UACGUAGGGUGCAAGCGUUAAUCGGAAUUACUGGGCGUAAAGCGUGCGCAGGCGGUUUUGUAAGUCUGUCGUGAAAUCCCCGGGCUCAACCUGGGAAUUGCGAUGGAGACUGCAAGGCUAGAAUCUGGCAGAGGGGGGUAGAAUUCCACGUGUAGCAGUGAAAUGCGUAGAUAUCUGGAGGAAUACCGGUGGCGAAGGCGGCUCACUGGACUGGUAUUGACGCUGAGGUGCGAAAGCGUGGGGAGCAAACAGG
rnacentral:rRNA from 1 species